AUCUAAGUAGUUUAAUUGUAGAAUAUUGGCUUGUGAUGCUUAUGGUGUAAUUGUGUUACCUUAGGUU
rnacentral:tRNA from 1 species